UAAUGACGGUAGUAAACGAAUAAGCCACGGCUAACUACGUGCCAGCAGCCGCGGUAAUAGGUAGGUGGCGAGCGUUGUCCGGAAUUAUUGGGCGUAAAGAGCAUGUAGGCGGUCGUUUAAGUCUGGAGUGAAAAUGCGGGGUUCAACCCGGUAUGGCUCUGGAUACUGGAGGACUUGAGUGCAGGAGAGGAAAGGGGAAUUCCCGGUGUAGCGGUGGAAUGCGUAGAUAUCGGGAGGAACACCAGUGGCGAAGGCGGCUUAUCUGGGCACCAACUGACGCUGAGGCUCGAAAGUGUGAGUAGCAAACAGGAUUAGAUACCCUGGUAGUCCACACUGUAAACGAUGAUUACUAGGUGUUGGAGGAUCAACCCCUUCAGUGCCGCAGUUAACACAAUAAGUAAUCCACCUGGGGAGUACGACCGCAAGGUUGAAACUCAAAGGAAUUGACGGGGGCCCGCACAAGCAGUGGAGUAUGUGGUUUAAUUUGACGCAACGCGAAGAACCUUACCAAGUCUUGACAUCCUGUGACGCACAUAGAAAUAUGUGUUUCUUUUGGGACGCAGAGACAGGUGGUGCAUGGUUGUUGUCAGCUCGUGUCGUGAGAUGUUGGGUUAAGUCCCGCAACGAGCGCAACCCUUAUGGUCAGUUACUACGCAAGAGGCCUCUGGCCAGACUGCCGUUGACAAAACGGAGGAAGGUGGGGAUGACGUCAAAUCAUCAUGCCCCUUAUGACUUGGGCUACACACGUACUACAAUGGCGUUAAACAAAGAGAAGCAAGACCGCGAGGUGGAGCAAAACUCAGAAACAACGUCCCAGUUCGGACUGCAGGCUGCAACUCGCCUGCACGAAGUCGGAAUUGCUAGUAAUCGCAGAUCAGCAUGCUGCGGUGAAUACGUUCCCGGGCCUUGCACACACCGCCCGUCA
rnacentral:rRNA from 1 species